GGGUAGCGGAGAAAUUCCAAUCGAACCUGGAGAUAGCUGGUUCUCUCCGAAAUAGCUUUAGGGCUAGCCUCAAGUGAUGAUUAUUGGAGGUAGAGCACUGUUUGGACGAGGGGCCCCUCUCGGGUUACCGAAUUCAGACAAACUCCGAAUGCCAAUUAAUUUAACUUGGGAGUCAGAACAUGGGUGAUAAGGUCCGUGUUCGAAAGGGAAACAGCCCAGACCACCAGCUAAGGUCCCAAAAUAUAUGUUAAGUGGAAAAGGAUGUGGCGUUGCCCAGACAACUAGGAUGUUGGCUUAGAAGCAGCCAUCAUUUAAAGAGUGCGUAAUAGCUCACUAGUCGAGUGACACUGCGCCGAAAAUGUACCGGGGCUAAACAUAUUACCGAAGCUGUGGAUUGUCCUUUGGACAAUGGUAGGAGAGCGUUCUAAGGGCGUUGAAGCAUGAUCGUAAGGACAUGUGGAGCGCUUAGAAGUGAGAAUGCCGGUGUGAGUAGCGAAAGACGGGUGAGAAUCCCGUCCACCGAUUGACUAAGGUUUCCAGAGGAAGGCUCGUCCGCUCUGGGUUAGUCGGGUCCUAAGCUGAGGCCGACAGGCGUAGGCGAUGGAUAACAGGUUGAUAUUCCUGUACCACCUAUAAUCGUUUUAAUCGAUGGGGGGACGCAGUAGGAUAGGCGAAGCGUGCGAUUGGAUUGCACGUCUAAGCAGUAAGGCUGAGUAUUAGGCAAAUCCGGUACUCGUUAAGGCUGAGCUGUGAUGGGGAGAAGACAUUGUGUCUUCGAGUCGUUGAUUUCACACUGCCGAGAAAAGCCUCUAGAUAGAAAAUAGGUGCCCGUACCGCAAACCGACACAGGUAGUCAAGAUGAGAAUUCUAAGGUGAGCGAGCGAACUCUCGUUAAGGAACUCGGCAAAAUGACCCCGUAACUUCGGGAGAAGGGGUGCUCUUUAGGGUUAACGCCCAGAAGAGCCGCAGUGAAUAGGCCCAAGCGACUGUUUAUCAAAAACACAGGUCUCUGCUAAACCGUAAGGUGAUGUAUAGGGGCUGACGCCUGCCCGGUGCUGGAAGGUUAAGAGGAGUGGUUAGCUUCUGCGAAGCUACGAAUCGAAGCCCCAGUAAACGGCGGCCGUAACUAUAACGGUCCUAAGGUAGCGAAAUUCCUUGUCGGGUAAGUUCCGACCCGCACGAAAGGCGUAACGAUUUGGGCACUGUCUCAACGAGAGACUCGGUGAAAUCAUAGUACCUGUGAAGAUGCAGGUUACCCGCGACAGGACGGAAAGACCCCGUGGAGCUUUACUGUAGCCUGAUAUUGAAAUUCGGCACAGCUUGUACAGGAUAGGUAGGAGCCUUUGAAACGUGAGCGCUAGCUUACGUGGAGGCGCUGGUGGGAUACUACCCUAGCUGUGUUGGCUUUCUAACCCGCACCACUUAUCGUGGUGGGAGACAGUGUCAGGCGGGCAGUUUGACUGGGGCGGUCGCCUCCUAAAAGGUAACGGAGGCGCUCAAAGGUUCCCUCAGAAUGGUUGGAAAUCAUUCAUAGAGUGUAAAGGCAUAAGGGAGCUUGACUGCGAGACCUACAAGUCGAG
rnacentral:rRNA from 1 species